rnacentral:rRNA from 1 species
AGAGUUUGAUCCUGGCUCAGAACGAACGCUGGCGGCAUGCCUAACACAUGCAAGUCGAACGAGACCUUCGGGUCUAGUGGCGCACGGGUGCGUAACGCGUGGGAAUCUGCCCUUUGCUUCGGAAUAACAGUUAGAAAUGACUGCUAAUACCGGAUGAUGUCUUCGGACCAAAGAUUUAUCGGCAAAGGAUGAGCCCGCGUAGGAUUAGGUAGUUGGUGGGGUAAGGGCCUACCAAGCCGACGAUCCUUAGCUGGUCUGAGAGGAUGAUCAGCCACACUGGGACUGAGACACGGCCCAGACUCCUACGGGAGGCAGCAGUGGGGAAUAUUGGACAAUGGGCGCAAGCCUGAUCCAGCAAUGCCGCGUGAGUGAUGAAGGCCUUCGGGUCGCAAAGCUCUUUUACCAGGGAUGAUAAUGACAGUACCUGGAGAAUAAGCUCCGGCUAACUCCGUG